UGAAUGCUAAACAUAAGCAGCUGUACUCCAGUUCACCUGGGUUUCCAUAAUCGAUUUUAACUUGAAUAAAGUGAUAUUGAUUCAUUAAAUCCUGAAUCAGUUUUUAAAUAUAAAUGUAUUUUGCCAGAAAUGCCAGAAUCUCAGGUUAAAGCUCACAAAACUACACUGCUCAAAAAAAUAAAGGGAACACAAAAAUAAGAGAUCCCAGAUCUGAACGAAUGAAAUAUUCUUAUUAAAUAUGUAGUUACAUCAAGCAUGGAGGUCUGGAUUUGGAGUCACACUCAAAAUGAAAGUGGAAAAACACAGGCCGAUCCAACUUUGAUGCAAUGUUCUUAAAACAAGUCCAAAUGAGGCUCAGCAGUGCCUGUAUGACCUCCCUACAACACCUGGGCAUUGCUCCUGAUGAGGUGGCGGAUGUUCUUCUGAGGGAUCUCCCAGACCUGGACUAAAGCAUCUGCCAACAAUAAAGGACCUUGAACCUUGAACCUUGAACUCCUGGACAGUCUGUGGUGCAACACACCUACAUGAUGUCCCAGAUGUGCUCAACUGGAUGCAGGUCUGGGGAACGAGUGGGCCAGUCCAUAACAUCAAUACCAUCAUCUUGCAGGAACUGCUGACACGCUCCAGCCACAUGAGGUCUAACAUUAGUUGUGUCCCAAGUCAGGGGCCUCAUUCUCCAGAGGCAUUUGAAGGCCGAUCACGUCACAGCCAGGGGAUGAAGGCUGCUCCAAAUGCGGCCCUCAUUUCCCCUAAUUCGAAGCAUGGGUCAGGUGUGUACUUUGUGGCCCAACCUAUCCCAGAAUUCAUAGCGCUGCCUAGCCAGUUCAGUUUCUAACGAUUGCAUCAGCUACAGAGACGGUAGAAAUUGUUAAUGUUAAGAUAUUAAAGUUAAUGGAAGUUUCAUUUUAAAUGUUAAGGUGAUUUAUUUUACAUUCAUUAAACUUACGUGACUGUUUUUAACAUAAGGUUUGGUUUUUAUAUUACUCUUAUUAUUCUUUCUGGGUCACAAAAUAAACGUAACAUAUUUUCUGGCGAGAAUGUAGCUGUGUAAACCUUAAAUAUCUGCUCGGUUUAUCAAGACACCAAAUAUUUUCAAAAGCGCUCCGACGUUUUCUGAGACGUCUGUUACCCACCAGCUCAAUAGCUGACUGGGAGCUCGAGGCUCAGUAAAGCCGGCGAGAGCAGGCAUGAACAGGCAGCGAACUCACGGCACAUCGUUCUUUUAACCCCCUGUGGUCUUUGACUACUCAGGUUAAACAUGAUACAUGAGUCACUUAGAUAACUUAAACAUGUCAUUGUUUGGCUUUUUUCAUUAUUUUAUUUGUUCCUGAGUAAAUCGGUUUGUUAUAGUAACUUAUAGUUUUCACACAGCUGAAUAAACGUCAAACAGACAGCUGAUCAUCAGAAGUGUGAGAUGAUUGAGACUCUACGCCAGUGUCCUGUUAUAUUUUAGAUAGCAAGGAGCAGACGGCGAGUUUAUUAAACUCCAGCGAGACAACGGACACCUUUUCACCACUGUGGGCUGCAGGUACAGCAAUAGUAUGCAGUUUUUACUCUGUUACGUGUAAGGCAGAGUGAUGUUUUUGGUCUUGUGGUCCUAAUUUAGUACAGUUUGCUGUGGAUGCUGUUCAGGGACUAACAUGAGUGAGAUGUUCUCUGAUAUUCUGUCUGUUAGGGCAAUUCUUGUGAAGAUGGGCCUGGCGGGAAAAAUCACCCCUUUGCAGGCCAAAAAAACAAAACAAAGUAUGUACAGUAGUGUUAAAAUAUGUAUUGUUAACUGUAGUCUUUUGAACUUAUUCGUGUAAACCUGUACUGUUGCUGUUUUUGUCCAUUGCCACUUGUGAUUUCCUCUGCUGUUAGGAUUGCAAGUAUCCAGGGUCGGGCGAGGCAGUGAGUGGGAAGCCCACAGCUGCUAAAUGGUGCUGGUUUGUCCUUAUGGAUGAGGUGUUAGGACAGAGCCUUCUACCAGGGCUCCAGUCCUAAUUGUCUCCAUCCAGGAGGACACUCCAGGCCCAGUUCAGCAGUGGGCCAGCUGGAGCCAAGAGUGGACAAAAGAAAGACAGGAAGGAUGAAUUUCUUGGAAUUAAUAAGAGAGGGCAUGAGACUACAAAUGGAAACGGAGCAAAGAAGAGCCGGAGAAUGGACAGGCUUCUUCACAGUCAUGUCUCCCGGGGCCAGCUGGCUGAUACUUUGCCACUUUGCUCUCUGACACUUCUGCUCCAUAGAUUGCAGCUUGUCCAAAAUGCUGCGGCACACCUUUUGACUGCAACCGGCAGGUUUGCCUCUUUCACUCCUGUCCUUGCUGAUUUGCACUUCCUCCCUAUCAAAUACCAAGUUUAAUGAAAGUAUUGCUGCUCACCUUUAAAAUCAUAAACCAUACAGUGUCUAGCUAUCUCGUUGAGCUCCUUAGACCAUACACCCCUGGGAGAGCCCUCACAUCAUCAGCCCAAUUACUCUUGGUACAGCCUAGAUCUCGGCCUAAGACCAGAGGUGAGCGUACAUUUGCCCUGGUUGCACCUAAUUUGUGGAACAACCUGCCCAUUCCUAUCCCUAUUCUAUGUCACCGUCUGGUAUGGUAACUGCACCGUAUUGGAUUGCAAUACCCCACAACGGAUAGUGAGAGGAGCUGUGAAGAUCACUGGAGCCUCUCUUCCCUCCAUCACGGACACUUAUAGCAACUGCUCCACCCGCAAAGCCACCAGCAUCAUGGAGGACCCCACACACCCCUCACACACACCCUUCAUCCUACUGCUUUCUGGAAAGAGGUACUGGAGCAUCUGGGCCCUCACGACCAGACUACCGUUCAGUUUCUGAGAUCGAUCGUAGCUCAAGAGUUGGGAGUUCGCUUUGUAAUCGGAAGGUUGCCGGUUCGAGCCCCGGCUGUAUCACUAAUUACAGGAAUGUAAAGAGCAUUUUAGGGACUUGCUUCGUCCUGAAGACACAGGUUGUUCCUGAUAACUGAAUGAAAUCUCACCUGUGAUGGAGCUUUGUGUGUGUUUGCUGAGUGUGUGUGAGAGCUGCUGCUUGCAAUAAACUGAAAGUGUUUGAGGAACAAAGAGAAAAAGAGAAAAUCAGCUGAUGAUCCAGUAAAGACUCUCUGAGCAAAGUGACUGAAUUAAGCAGAUUUUAUUGAGCAUUGACAGAAAAGUGCAUCGAGCAGGAGACGAUUCAUGUGGAAGACCCGAAUACAGAGAAUCUGAACAGAUCAAGUCCAACAUGAAAGGAUCCAAAUGUUUCCACUUGGCCUGAGCCAUCACAAAUAUCCAGCAUGAACACAUGAAGAAUCAAUCGAGGCAUCGAUCAGCUGGAAGAAGAUCAGAUUUCAGGACUGGGCUCAGAAACACUGAAGAGUCAAAGUUGGAUUAUUUCCACACUGUGUCUGAGUUCAGUGUCUCCAACAUCCUCUGCACUCACUGAGAGACAACAACAUGUUGGACUGUGUCUGGAUCGUGUCAGUGACACGUUACUGUCCCACAACCAGUUUACUGAGUCAGCAUGAGAGGAGCAGCAGGAUGAAGCUCACACUGACAACCUUAGAACAACAUUAGAACAACGUGACAGACACACAUGGAUUUGUGGAGAACACAGAGUUUAGUUUGUGACGUCAGAGGAGCAGGGAGCUGUUCUCACACACUGUUGUACUGAUCGUUAAACAGCAGGGGGCGCCCUCACUGCAUUUACAGCACAGCUGGCAGCUCUGCUCUGCAUAAUAACCGACUGUGGAGUUUAUGUAGUAACACUUUUCAUGUGC
ensembl:lncRNA